UACGGGGGGGCAAGCGUUGUUCGGAAUUACUGGGCGUAAAGGGCUUGUAGGUGGCCAACUAAGUCAAACGUGAAAUCCCUCGGCUUAACCGGGGAACUGCGUCUGAUACUGGAUGGCUUGAAUCCGGGAGAGGGAUGCAGAAUUCCAGGUGUAGCGGUGAAAUGCGUAGAUAUCUGGAGGAAUACCGGUGGCGAAGGCGGCAUCCUGGACCGGCAUUGACGCUGAGACGGCGAAAGCGUGGGGAGCGAACAGG
rnacentral:rRNA from 1 species